rnacentral:rRNA from 1 species
ACGAACCGUGCGAACGUUAUUCGGAAUCACUGGGCUUAAAGCGCGUGUAGGCGGGCCGGCACGUCGAUGGCUGAAAUCCCCCGGCUCAACCGGGGAAGUGGCCUCGAUACGACCGGCCUGGAGGGGGGUAGGGGGCGCCGGAACUUCCGGUGGAGCGGUGAAAUGCGUUGAGAUCGGAAGGAACGCCCGUGGCGAAAGCGGGCGCCUGGACCCCACCUGACGCUGAGACGCGAAAGCCAGGGGAGCGAACGGGA